GCCGGAGCGCGGAGCCGCGGCGCCUGGGUUUUGCGCGAGGCCUCCGCCCUGGGAUUGGGGCGGGCAGUCGCGGAGGCGCAUCCCUGGUGAGCCGGUGGGAGGGGAAAAGGAUGUCGCGUCCCCCAUCCUUGCGGCCUCCCGUCCUCCGUCACCAGCCCCCUCCGUCUCCUGCAUCACAAGGCCCCGUCCCCGCGGUCCCCCGCGACCCCCGCACCCGGCCCCGCUCCACCCGCCGUGCUUCCUGCCCCUCCACACCCUCGUCCCCACCCGGGCCCAUCCCCCUGUGAGCCCUGGUGCCCUGGGAUGAGGGCCGAGGUCCUGAGCGGAGAGGGUGCUUGUACCAGCCCCAUGGUGGCUCGAGCCCACCCCGCGGCCCCUCCCGUGGCAGGUGCGGUUUCUCCACCGGUUGUCAGCUGCGGGGCCGGGCGGAGACCUCCUCAACCUCCGGCCUUGUUUCAGGGAGGAUGGGGUCGACCCUUGCGAUCCCCAGAGGCCCCCCAUGGCUCCUCCUGGGCUGGCUGUCUUCCUCCUGUGGGUUCUGAUGCCACCUGGGCCGACGGCGUCUUCUCAGCCCAGGGCGGCCGCGCCUCCGGUGCCGCAGCCCAAUAGGAAGAGACGUGCUCGGUCAACUUAGUUUCUGCCCUCAAGCACCAGAGAGAAAAGGCAGAGAAAACAGGUAAGGGCAUGUUGUCUAUUCAUUAGACCCAUGGAGUUUUCAAUAAAAGGACACAAAAUGACA